rnacentral:piRNA from 1 species
UUCCUCUAAUCAUUCAAGGUGCAUCAGACU